rnacentral:sRNA from 1 species
ACGGAAUCGCCGAUCCCUAUGUCCCACCAGAAAAUCCUGGCUCAUUUACCGACGUUAAUAACAAAUUCGACGAGGUUAAGCAGCGAAUUCAACACAAAUUCUACAAUUGGCGUAUGGGAACGAAUCGAAUUCGCAAGAAGCAGGGAUUCGAGAAAUUUGAUAUUAAAACGUUUUGCGCAAAAGCCGAAGAUAUCUAUGUACAGGCUCACCGAGCAUUGGAACAGAGGGAUAAGACGGCAAUGUAUAAAUAUAUUACCGAAUACGCGUUUGCGG